AGCGAACGUUAGCGGCGGGCCUAACACAUGCAAGUCGCACGAGAAAGUGGCUUCGGUCAUGAGUAAAGUGGCGGACGGGUGAGUAACACGUGGGUAAUCUGCCUUUUAGUGGGGGAUAACUGUCCGAAAGGAUAGCUAAUACCGCAUACGUCGGCAAGGAUUGCGGUCCUUGUCGGGAAAGCCGGCCUCUCCAUGGAAGCUGGCGCUGAAAGAGGAGCCCGCGGCCCAUCAGCUAGUUGGCGGGGUAAUGGCCCACCAAGGCUAAGACGGGUAGCUGGUCUGAGAGGAUGAUCAGCCACACUGGGACUGAGACACGGACCAGACUCCUACGGGAGGCAGCAGUGGGGAAUAUUGGGCAAUGGGCGCAAGCCUGACCCAGCCACGCCGCGUGAGUGAUGAAGGCCUUCGGGUCGUAAAGCUCUGUGGGGAGGGACGAAACAACGCUGGCUAACAUCCAGCGGCCUGACGGUACCUCCUUAGCAAGCACCGGCUAACUCCGUGCCAGCCGCCGCGGUAA
rnacentral:rRNA from 1 species